rnacentral:tRNA from 1 species
GGUUUGUAGCUCAAUUGGAAGAGUGUUGCGCUUCGAACGCAAAGGUCCGGGUUCAAUUCCUGGCGAACCCA